rnacentral:rRNA from 1 species
UUCCGUAGGUGAACCUGCGGAAGGAUCAUUACCGAGUUAGGGUCCUCUGGGCCCGACCUCCCACCCUUGCCUAUCUUACCACGUUGCUUCGGCGGGCCCGUCCCUGAUCGGACCGCCGGGGAUGUUCGUCCCCGGCCCGCGCCCGUCGAGAGCCCCCCCACAAACCCUUUCAAACAGUGACGUCUGAGUCCUAGAUGAAAUAGGUAUAAAACUUUCAACAACGGAUCUCUUGGUUCUGGCAUCGAUGAAGAACGCAGCGAAAUGCGAUAAGUAAUGCGAAUUGCAGAAUUCCGUGAGUCAUCGAAUCUUUGAACGCACAUUGCGCCCUUUGGCAUUCCGAAGGGCAUGCCUGUUCGAGCGUCAUUAUCAACCCUCAAGCCCGGCUUGGCCGUUGGGUCCCGCACCGUGGAGACCGCGGUGGGCCCGAAAGAUAAUGGCAGAGCCCGUGUGGACCUCUGGAUGCAGCGAGCUUCUGGCACGCGUCCGUCCGGUCCUCCCGGUUCGGUCUCACCCGAAUUUCUUUCUCAGGUUGACCUCGGAUCAGGUAGGGAUACCCGCUGAACUUAAGCAUAUCAAUAAG